rnacentral:rRNA from 1 species
CUACGGGUGGCUCCAGUUAGGAAUAAUCUACAAUGCGCGAAAGCGUGAUAGUUUGAGCCAGAGUGUUUUUCAAUUGAAAGACUUUUGUGAAAUGUAAAAAGUUUCACGAAUAAGGACUGGGUAAGACUAGUGCCAGCCGCCGCGGUAAUACUAGCGGUCCAAGUCGCAACCAUUUUUAUUGGGUCUAAAACAUCCGUAGCUUGCUUGACAAGUCUUCUGUGAAAUUUUACGUCUAAAACGUAGAGCGCGCAGAAGGUACUAUCAAGCUAGAGACCGGAAGACGUAAGAAGUACAUUCAGAGUAGCGGUUAAAUGUGUUAAUCCUGGAUGGACCAACAAGAGCGAAGGCAUCUUACGAGGACGGUUCUGACAGUAAGGGAUGAAAGCUAGGGGCGCAAAUGGGAUUAAUACCCGAGUAGUC